ACGGAAUUGAAUUUUUAAGCCUCCAAGACUUUAUUAACCUAUUCUAAAACUUCUUACAGGAAAUUCAUAUAUAACAGAAUACGUUAUAGUUCCUAAGAUAGCCAACAAAAUCCAAAAUGUCUAAACUGAUGAAAUUAAAAUAAAACUGAGACUUAUAUAAAGUAUAAUUCCAUCGAGGUGUAUGUUUUAUACUCUCUUCAUCUAUCUACUCCUUUGAAACCGAAUUUAUCCACCUUUGUAUUAAUUACUGUAAUAAAAUGUUCAUGAAUUGCCCAUCAUCUGUUUCUAAACUUUUUAAUUUUUUAAAAGCUUGAGAUAAAAAUGGGGCUUAUUUGACACUUGGCACAUUAGCAAAACCUACUCUUAAAGGCUGUUUAUUCAAAUGUUGUAACCAAACAUAGAAUACCCAUCAAAUCCAGCUCAAGCUCUUGAAUGUAUAACAGGGAUUGGUUUAUUUCCUGAAUAGGCAGUUUUCUGAGUGUUACUUAUAGCUAGAGCCCUCACACUUUUGUUUUGAACUUUUCCCUUUCUUCUGGACCAUUUAUAUUUCUGCUGUAAAUCUUUGAUACUAUGUAGUCUUUUCACAGAUGCUUUCCAACAGUGAGGGAGCUGGAAUAUCUCCAAAAUAAAUUUUUGACUCAGGCAAGUGCCUUUUUUUAAUGUCCGUGAGUCAGAAGCGCUAAGAAGUUACAGAAACCAGACAGAAAAGCCCUUUUGUUAUCAUCAGCAUUUUUGGAGUUUGCCCACCAGAUGUGUCAUUCAGGAAGACCAAAAGUACAACUGGAUGAUUAUAAGCAAGAUCAAGGACGUCAUCCCUGGCCAAGAGAAGGUUAUGAAGACCAGUAGAACCGUGCAUGAUGGCCUCCCAGUCUACAUGCAGAAUUCAAUGGAAGAUGUGGAGAGCAAGCAGAGUGGCAAAAGCAGUAGCAUCAGUAGCAGCGAAAGCAGCAGCAGCCAUAGUGACACCUUGAGCUUUGACGCAGGCAGCAACAGAGGCCAUGACAACAGUAGCACCCACAGCCAUGGACACACGCCCAGACCAGUAGCAGCCAAACCGCCCCAACAACAGCAGAGAUCCAACAUUCUUUUGAGAUGACGGAAAAAAAAUCUAUGGAAUAUGUGAAAAGUCUGCUGCUGAAAAUAAAUCGGAAUUCCAAUGCCCGAUAGUUACUGACCUAAGGUGAAGUGACCAUUACUCAGUCUUGAUAUUACCAGACGGCACCUGUCAUUCAGAAUACUGGAGAGUCCUAUUCUGUAUCUUGAGCCUCAUGGAAGAAAUGGACAUUGCAGAACGGCUGGUACAUCGAUACUGUUAUGGGUUGUGGAGAAAUUUGAUAGCCAGGCAGAGGAAUUUGGAUGCAGGAGUUCCUGCUGUUCUGGAGCAGGAAUAUGACAGAACCCACUGGUGUUGAUGAGCAGAGGAACAUAGACCACAAGUAUGAGAAUUUGGUCAAAACUGUUGAAGCUCUCACGUCAUGCGCCUGUAGUAAAAUGCAGUGCUCUUUAUGAAGCUGUAAUCCACAAGUUUAGACCAUUGGACCACUGUCUUUAGAUUUUUUGUUGCGAGAUCACAAAUCAUAUUUAACUCGAUAGUUGCUAAUAUAAAAAUCAUAUCAUCUCAUAUUAUUCAUGGUUUCCUAAGAACUUGUUUUGAGACUUGGAAAAGAAUGCCUUUAAGUGUGUCAAAUCCAAUAAACUUUGUGUUUUAAAAAGAAAA